rnacentral:lncRNA from 1 species
UUUCAAAGGAAAUAUAUAAACUGUGAUUCUCCCUCUGAGCAGUGAAAUUAAUGAUUAUCGGGCUGUAUUUCAGCAGACCAUUUACCAUCCAUUGUCAUAAAUAUUACUGUCUGACAGGACCCGAUUAACUAGUCCCCGGGGGACUAAUUGCUGAAAAGCCUUACAGGUGCUUUUAGAACUAGAGUCAUAAAAAUGUAGAAAAAUCUCUAGAAAAGAUUGAGCAAGCGGACUCUUGACAGCCUGGUAAGAAACUCAACAUUUCCAGUUCCUGAGAGAGAGAGUUUGGAGCUGUGCUCCCUUGACAGAUUAGUUUACCUCUUAGUGUCCUACAAAGAGAGAGACUCCUAGUCUGUCAAACACAUCAAGAAAAUGUGUUAGCAUCUUGAGUGAGGUGUAGCUCAAAGCUUCUUGUCUUUAGGGUUUUGUGAAACCAUCAGUUAUGUUCCCAUGUUGGAGAACACAGUAACAAUGGACCUCACUUUUAAGAGAUACUUUAUAUAAGUUAUAACACUUUGGGCUGGAAUAACAUAAUAUUAAGCUGUAUACCAUUUCUGUUCUGUAGAAUAUUUUAAAAAAUAGUAAUUUUGGAUUUGGGAAAAUAAUAGUGUCAAUUAUUUUCCAGUAUUUCUUUCUCCAUAGAGACAAGUGAUUGAGAGUUUUUCACAUCCUACUGUUGACUGGUGAAUAGUUAUUCAUUUUCCCUCUUAGACUUUGUUUCCUUCCCACUGAGAUUUACUGAAACUGUGUAAAAUUGCAUAAGACCAUUUCCAGAAUUUGUCAUUUUCAUUCUUUUCAUUUCUUUUGUUAGGCUAAUCUGCCAAAUAUUAGAUAAAAAUCAUGGCAGAAAGCAGAUCUUUUCUAAUGCCCUGUCUCUGUUAAUAGUUUCCUGAAAUAUCUUAAAUGUAUCUUGAAAUACACACUGGCCUGUCCCCUCAAGGUGAUAUAAACCAUGUCUGUAGCAUGUAGUUGAACUUAUUUACUUGUUUACUCUUUGAGGCAGGCUUACACUGUGUAACCCUGGAUGGCAUGAUAAAGAGAUUGACCCUAAAGCUGUGAUUCUAUGGCAACCAUACAUUUCUGUAUUUUGCAUUUGCUUGAAUUUCUUCGUGUGCUACUUACUAUAUGACUUUCCAAUAUUUGUUAUUCUAUAAUAUUUUCACAAUAUGCAAUUAUAAUGUACAGGUUAUGCUUUAGUAUAAUUCUUAAUGUAUUUUGCUUAUUUAUGUGUGUACAUAUAUAUUCUAAAAUUUUAUAUUUUAGCAUGAAUAUAUUUUCAGAUUAACUGCAUUGCAAUUUAAAAUAUAAUACCUAGGAAACAAAGUUUUAUUACUACCCAGGGAUCCAUCCCAUAAACAGCCACCAAACCCAGACACUAUUGCAUAUGCCAACAAGAUUUUUCUGACAGGACCCUGAUAUAGCUGUCUCCUGUGAGGCUAUGCCAGUGCCUGGCAAAUACAGAACUGGAUUCUCACAGUCAUCUAUUGGAUGGAACACAAGGUCCCCAAUGAUGGGGCUAAAGAAAGUACCCAAGGAGCUGAGCGGGUCUGCAGCCCUACAGGAGGAACAACAAUAUGAACUAAUCAGUACCCCCCCCCCCCCGAGCUCCCACUAAACCACCAAUCAAAGAAAACACAUGGUGGGAGCACAUGUAGUAGAGGAUGGCCUAGUCAGACAUCAAUGGGAGGAGAGGCCCUUGGUCUUGCAAAGAUUCUAUGCCUCAGUAUAGGGGAAUGCCAGGGCCAGGAAGCAGGAGUGGGUGGGUUGGGUAGCAGGGGGACGGGGAAGGGUAUAGGGGAUUUUCGCAGAGGAAACUAGAAAAGGGGAUAGUGUUUAAAAUGUAAAUGAAGAAAAUAUCUAACAAAAAAUUAAAAAAUAAAAAAAUUAAAUGAAAUUAGAUUAGAAUUAGUUUUUCAUAGAAAUAAUUUGUUUACCAUUUUACAUUUUCCAUUGUGUUGGCAUGAGAAGUUUUGUUCAACAACACUGAAUAUUUGUUUCACUAUUGAGUUUUGGUAUUCUGAGUAAAAUGAAUCAACAGAAUUUAUCAAAAUGUUAAAAUUUUAGUUUAAACUCUAAAGCUCAGGUGCUUCCAGAAUACAUGCUAUUAUUCUUUUUAUACUUAAACUUAUAAGUAAGCUAAUAUCAUUACCUAUACAAAUAUAAUUCUCAUGUAUAGCCAAUAUCUUCUCAUAUUUGAAGUUUAAUGUUAUUCUUGCAUCAGCUUCAGAGUCACACAUUGUUGGUUUUAUAGAUCGUGGAUUAAUUUCUUAGACAGUAUAGCAAAAAGGAAAUGGUUUUGUAAUAACCUUUUCCCAUAAAUUACUGGGUGAUAAUCUACUACUAAUUGUGUUUAGCUGGUGAAGUAGAAGAGAAGCGCAGACCCGCCACCACCAACAGACCUUAUUUAUAAGCUGUAGGAUACAAUUUAACUACUACAAAAGUGAUAUGUUAUAUAAGAUAUAUAAUUAAAUACAUAAUACCAAGUAAAGACUAAUAUAUAUAACAGAUGUGUUAGUAUAGUUUAAUUUAGUGGAGUUAGUAUUGACUUAAAUAUUAAAUAUAAAAAGAGCAUCAUUUUAUAUAGUUUUUUAAAUGUAUUAGUGGUGAACAAUGAUAAAAGUAAACUAUUACUUAUACACUAGGGAAAACAUAUUAAAGAUCCCUUCCCAGUUUUAUUUUUUAUAAUACUUUUACAUUUCCUCAUCCUCAGAACUUAUUGUAUGAACAUUAAACAUAUUUAUAUUUUAUUUUCAAAAUGAUUAUCACAUUUAAAAACUUAUAUGGCAAACAAGAGUCAGCUUUUGCUUAACAUUUGUCAUGGUUUGACAGGCAGAGAAUUCAGGAUUCCUGGAGAUCAUGACUUGGUCCAGCCUUGAUGCUUAUUUUUUUUACCUGAGUUGUGAUUUCUUCUUCUAAGAAGAAAUGGGUUAGGUAAGAACACAGUCUCAAGUCUCAAGAGCACUGUGCACAAAAGUGUUUCCGUGCAAACAAAAUAUUCAAUGCUCAGUACUAUAGUUCAGGUUUUCAUUGUCAAUACUCUUCAUGUGUGUGUGGAGGCCAGAGAAUGACAUCAGGAAUCUUUCUAAAUCACUUUCAUUUUAUUUGCUGAUUUAAGGUCAUUGACUAAACCCAGGGUUGGUACCCUGUUCUGCUAGUCUAUCUAGGCAGCUGGCCCUCAGGGAUCUGUUCGUCUCACACCUCAGCUCAACAGGAUGCCAAGAUUUCAGGAUUCCUCUGCUAUUUUGUGACUGUACAGGAUUGAAACCCCAACCACACCAUUUGUGUUGAUUUAGCAUGGGCUGUCUCACCAGCACCUAAUGUUUUUUUCAUCUUUAUUUUGUUUAUGGGCAUUUUCUCUGCCUGUUUAUGUGUCAAGUGUGUAACUGUGUAGUGUCCCCAUAGAGGCUAGUUAAGUGAGACCAGAAAAGUACAAAGGGUCACCCUGUAGACUGUCAUGUGGUUGUAGGGAAUUAGAACUAGAUCCUGUGGACAGAGCAAAUCUAGGCUCUUAACUAUGUAGCCAUUCCUCCAGACCUAGCAGCCCCUAAUUUGAAUAAUUUUGUGGAGAGGUCUUUUAUCUCUGUGUCUGUGUCUGUGUCUGUGCCCAUGCCUGAGUCUGUGUCUGUCUCUUUGUCUCUGUGUCGGUCUCUCAUUGUCUCUCCGUCUCUGUGUCUCUGUUUGUGUGUUUCUCUGUCUUUCCUUCUCUGUUUCUCUGUCUGUCUGUCUCCUUUUCCCCCCUCUGCUUUUUUGAGACAGGUUAUAGUAUAUCUCAAGCUAAAUUUGAAACAAGUGUAUAGCGGAGGAUGAGCUUGAAUUCCCAGCUCUCUUUCUGCAAAGUCCCCAGUUUUUUGACUACAGGUUUUCUUCACCACACCAGAUUCCCUAAUUUGUACUUUUGAUAAUUCACCACAUCAUGUUAGUGAGCUCUGUACUGGGAAAACUGAUGGAGUAUGGAUUGAGAAAUGAUUAAAGUAGCGCCUGUUGUAUAAGAAAUUUUCUUUACACUUUGCAAAGUUUUAUGUUCAAGGACAAGUCUUUUGAGAAAAUAGCUAAUAAAAAAACAUGUAAAUUUAAUUAAGGUAAAGUUCAUACAUCAUGGGAGCCUUCUGAAAAUAAGAGACAGAUGAAGUAGGGAAACCUACAUGUUCUUUCCAUUGGGUGUAAGUCAGAAAUACAGUCUAUCCU